rnacentral:lncRNA from 1 species
UUUCAGAAGAACCCCAAGUGAUGAGAAAGGCUUUGAAAACCAUCGAUCUAAGUAGGAGAGUCUAACUCGAAUAGCCAUGGCUGGUCGAAGAAUAGUCAUGAACUGGAAUCGAACAGCGUCUGGGCCAAGCUCUUUCAAAAUCUAGCCUUGAGACCAUAAGAAUCGAACACGUAGAAGCCAUGGGGGGUUGAUACAAGUCUCUGAUGACCUUGGAAGCCAUAGAUUUGGGAGGUAUUAUGGUUAUAGUUUGGUGGUGGCGGCUAGGGUUUAUGAGGGGUUGUAGAGAGAGCUGAGAGAGAAGAG